rnacentral:misc_RNA from 1 species
UUAGGCCCACCCACCAGAACUGGUUUCACCGCUUUGUUCAAGAACUCUGCUGCUGCUUCAACUGCGGCCUCCAAACCUAAUUUAUUACUUAAUCUGGGAGAGAGAAAAAAAUGGAACUGGCUCCCGGCUAAAAGUAGGAUGAGGGAUGGCAGGCAAGUUGCAGCUAAUGCUUAGGUAAACCGGCUUGCUUUCUUUCAAAGCAGUCGAUAU